UUUAUGAUUCAAAAAUUGUCAAUUAUUAGGUACAUGAUUCUUUUAAACCGAGCUGAUGCAAUGUGUACCAGCAUUGGGAAGCUAGUUCAUCUCAAUAACAAUAAAUAUAUCUUUGAGAGAGUAGGGAUCAUGCUUCAUGGAAAGCAUAGUUUCUACACCAAAUUCUCAAAAAUAUUCAAGCAUGGAGGUGGGCUGGUGUUUAAAACCCUUCAGUGGUUGGUUCAGAGUCUUGACAAUGAAAAGAUUUUUGUUGGUGCUAUUAUUGCUGAGGAUGAGAGUAGGGUAUCACGUCAUUUGAAACAUUGUGCCUCAGAGCGAGAAAUACCCAUGAUGCCGGCUAGCUGGAUCAUCAAGAGCUUACAUUCAGGAAAGCUCUUUCCUAUUAAGGAGAAAAACCAUUCAUCGCUUUUGCCAACAAAUAAUAUUCCAGAGGCUCCAAUUUCCAUGGACUGGAGUGAAGAAAUAUGAAAUUUACUUCUCCCAUGGGCUCUUGCAAGAUAAAUGCACAAAGUAUUCUGUGGAUUGGUACCAGCUACUAUUGAAACAUAUAAAAAGAUACCAUACUUCUCUUGCUAAGCUGUCCACGGGAGAAAAUAGUAGAGGAUGCUUAAAAUCUUAGCCUGACAUCAACACUCAAAGAUUUUGAACUUUAUGAGAAACAUUAACUAGGGUGGAAAGCCUGGCUUGCUCCAACUUCUCUGAUGCCAGGUUGAUCAAUUUGUUUGGAUGAGCAAUAUAGGGAGCUACAACGGCUUAUUAGUGGCUUAUUUCCUAGCCAGAAGAAAAGAGGGCGGCGGUGGCCGCGUGGGUGUGGGGGGAUGCGGGUAUCAAGAGAACAGUUGAUCUUAUCUGCAAUGAUUGGAUUUUGGAAGUAGAAGGCUCAAAACAGGAAGGAGUCCUGCAAAUAGAUCCCAUAAUAGCAGAGGCUCAACUUCUCAGAGAAGCCAUUGUGCAAAUGUGAUGAUCAAUGACUGGCCUAAAUUUUUUCAAAUGAAACCGUCUUUGGCUUUAAGUGCUCAUAAGUAUCAUCUGUGAAGAUGUAUAUGUUAUACCCCCAGUUGCUGAUGCUGUUAACCAGUCUAGGAUAUUCUCUUUGAUCUCUCUCUCAUGUCAAGGUACACGACUUAAAAAGAUGGAACAGGUGCUGAUCUUCUGUGAAAUAAUCGAGUCAAUAUUGAGUGGGUUGUUUCUUCCCCUUGGAGAGUGUCCAUCUUUGUGAUGCAAUGUAUUAUUCCCAGAAACGAGAGAAGCAAGUUUCUGACUGGAAAAUAUUGUCAUGUACUGCUUGUUAAUGCACACAGAUAAAGCCAGCCAGCAAUGACUAGAUAGGAGCAAUUAGUAACAGAUAUAGAUUUGCAUGUUACAUAGCGUAAGAAAUGUUGAAACAAAAAAGUAAUGACAAUUCCUAGAAUCAUGUAAUUUCUUACAUCUGUACCAUAAUUCCAUUCGUUUGAGAAAUUUAAUGAUUA